rnacentral:tRNA from 1 species
GGAGCUGUGGUGUAGUGGUUAACAUGCCUGCCUGUCACGCAGGAGAUCGCGAGUUCGACUCUCGUCAGCUCCGCCA